rnacentral:rRNA from 1 species
AGCGAACGCUGGCGGCAGGCCUAACACAUGCAAGUCGAACGAACUCUUCGGAGUUAGUGGCGGACGGGUGUGUAACACGUGGGAACGUGCCUUUUGGUUCGGAAUAACUCAGGGAAACUUGUGCUAAUACCGAAUGUUCCCUUCUGGGGAAAGAUUUAUCGCCAUUAGAGCGGCCCGCGUCUGAUUAGCUAGUUGGUUAGGUAAUGGCUCACCAAGGCGACGAUCAGUAGCUGGUCUGAGAGGAUGACCAGCCACACUGGGACUGAGACACGGCCCAGACUCCUACGGGAGGCAGGAGUGGGGAAUCUUGCACAAUGGGCGAAAGCCUGACGCAGCCAUGCCGCGUGAAUGAUGAAGGUCUUAGGAUUGUAAAGUUCUUUCACCGGGGAAGAUAAUGACGGUACCCGGAGAAGAAGCCCCGGCUAACUUCGUG